AUUCUUAUUCUCUUUAUGUUCUUCCUUUUUGGGUUAUCGUAUUGUUGGCUGUUGUCUCUGAUUGAAUCUAGAUCUAAUUUGAUUUCUUUGGUCACUGUCCUUUUGUUUAGGGAGAUAGCAAUGCAUGUUCACAUCUGAUUUAGUUUGUCAGGUUUGUUUCUAAAUCCAUGCCUGCAUCUUUAGAUUAAAUCUGUUUUCAUUAUCCCCCCUUUGAUGGCUGCUCCAUGCGUUGCUCUGCAAUUUGUCGCCUCAUUAUCAUUGCCAAUGGUUAUUGUUGAUUUAUCUUCAUAUAAUUUUCUUUGCCUUUCCAUGUGAGUUCCCUUAGGAUAUAAAUUUAUUUGCCUUUAGCUGGUUGGGUUGGGAAGGAUGUAUUCGGAGGGGAGUCAGAUGUAUGUGUCUUAUUGGUUUGAAACACUGCCUCAGUUCUGUUCAGCUAGAGGUUCAUUCCCAAUUUCUUGGGAUGAUUGCUAUUUAACGGUAAUAUUUAAUCUCCUCCUGCCAAUUGCUUGAAUACAAGGUUUAAUCCUUUGCAUUUGUUUCUUCUUUUUAUUUUCCCUUUCCACUCUUAUUUCUGGAGAGGAGGUUGACAACCGCUUCAAACUCUGACUUCCUUCAUGGUGCACGGAUUACCUAUUGAAAAAGGAGACAGGAUGUUUUUCCAACACUGCCAACAAUACCUGUCUGGAUUGGCCUUUACAAGCCCUUUCAAAUGUAGCGAAUGAGGGGCUGUUGACUGAAGGAUUUUUCUGGAUUCCAUCAUUGGGAGGCCCUACAACAAUUGCAGCUCGGCAAAGUGGUUCUGGAAUUUCGUGGUUCUUCCCAUUUGUGGCCACUGUCGUCACCUAUAUACAUACAUGUUGGUCAAUCCUUGAUCCACUCGCGAUCGAGCUAGCUCUCCACCCCUGGACGACAAUGGCUGCUGCAGUGCAUUCAGAGACUAAGCCUGCACCAGUUUGGCAUCAGAUUUGGAUGUUGUGGGCUCCCUAGGGGCAUUGCAGGCAUCGAUGGGCUCUAUAAAUAUGUCUCUUGUUUUCAUAGAAGUCUCACUGUUUUCAGGAUGCAGAACCUGCUGCUUAAGCUCCUUCUACUCGUCCUCAUAUUACAACUCUCACUGGUCAGAUGCAACGGCGACCAAAAAGAAAUCGAGCAGGCGAAAUAGCCAUUGGUAUGCUAACUGGUGGUAGAAUUCAGGUUCCUGCAGUUGAAGUAGGGGCUCUUUUGUUGGGUUCCUUACUCAGCCUUAUAAUUGCAAUACCAUCAGAGGACCUUCUUUCAAAACCACUGCAAUUUAUCAUCUCCCUCUUUGUGGCCACACUAGCUGCUAUAAUGUGGAAAACGAUUCUCUAUUUACUCAUUCGCCACUACCACAACAAACGAAGGAAUAUACCUAGCUGUGUAAUAGAUGUUCCUACAUUCAUUGACCAGUAUUUGGCUCCACAACAAUUCUCUUUGCACAUAGCAUGUCACCUGCGUUCGUUACCUGCUCCAUCUGUUAACCACACUUCUAUUAACCGAGUUGAUGCCUA